AGUAACACGUAGAGAACCUGCCUCAGAGAGGGGGAUAACACACCGAAAGGUGUGCUAAUACCGCAUAACAUAUGAGAGGGGCAUCCCUUUCAUAUCAAAGAUUUAUUGCUCUGAGAUGGCCUCGCGUCCAAUUAGCUAGUUGGUGAGGUAACGGCCCACCAAGGCGACGAUUGGUAGCCGGACUGAGAGGUUGAACGGCCACAUUGGGACUGAGACACGGCCCAGACUCCUACGGGAGGCAGCAG
rnacentral:rRNA from 1 species